GAUGAACGCUGGCGGCGUGCCUAAUACAUGCAAGUCGAGCGAAGGGACGAGAAGGUUGCUGCUCUGAGGGGAGGGGCGGAGGGGAGUGCAACACGAGGAGAACGGACGUGUAAGACUGGGAUAACUACGGGAAACCGGAGCUAAAAACGGAUAAUAUGAUGAAGCGCAGGGUGCAAAAGUGACAGACGGUCUUGCGGGCACUGAUAGAUGGAUCUACGCUGCAUUAGCUAGUUGGUAAGGUAACGGCCUACCAAGGCAACGAUGCAUAGCCGACCUGAGAGGGUGAUCGGCCACACUGGAACUGAGACACGGUCCAGACUCCUACGGGAGGCAGCAGUCGGGAAUCUUGCGCAAUGGGCGAAAGCCUGACGCAGCCACGCCGCGUGUGUGAUGAAGGUCUUCGGAUCGUAAAGCUCUGUUAUUAGUGAAGAACAUCUGUGUAAUUAACUGUGCCCAUCUUGACGGUACCUACUCAGAAAGCCCCGGCUAACUACGUG
rnacentral:rRNA from 1 species